rnacentral:rRNA from 1 species
AUUGAACGCUGGCGGCAUGCUUUACACAUGCAAGUCGAACGGUAACAGGCCGCAAGGUGCUGACGAGUGGCGAACAGGUGAGUAAUGCAUCGGAACGUGCCCAGUCGUGGGGGAUAACGCAGCGAAAGCUGCGCUAAUACCGCAUACGAUCUGUGGAUGAAAGCGGGGGACCGUAAGGCCUCGCGCGAUUGGAGCGGCCGAUGUCAGAUUAGGUAGUUGGUGGGGUAAAGGCUCACCAAGCCAACGAUCUGUAGCUGGUCUGAGAGGACGACCAGCCACACGGGGACGGAGAAACGGCCCAGACUCCUACGGGAGGCAGCAGUGGGGAAUUUUGGACAAUGGGCGCAAGCCUGAUCCAGCAAUGCCGCUUGCAGGAAGAAGGCCUUCGGGUUGUAAACUGCUUUUGUACGGAACGAAAAGGCUCUGGAUAAUACCUGGGGCUCAUGACGGUACCGUAAGAAUAAGCACCGGCUAACUACGUGCCAGCAGCCGCCGUAAUAC